rnacentral:pre_miRNA from 1 species
UUGGGUUGUCCGAAGUUAAAUUUAUUCAACUUUUACCAAAUUUAUAGAAAAAUAUAAAAAUAAUUAUACUAUCAAAUACAUGCACUAUCAAAACACAUUCCAUGGUAGAUUCAACCAAACAAAUUUGGUAUUAUAAAUGUUGUUAUAUUUUUCUAUAACUUUGGUCAAAGUUGAACAAGUUUGACUUAGGACAAACCAAA